AGAUUGAAGACGGGUUGUGUUUCAGAGUAAAAAUUGUUGGGGUCUUGUUCCUAAACAAGAAGUAUCUUCUGGAAAAUUCAAUUCGAAAUCCUGGUCAAAAAAGAGAUGAAAACAGUCAUUUCUGUGGUCAUAUUUGGCUUAUUAGCCAUCCUUCUUAUUAGCGGGGCAAACGGAAAUCCGGUUCAAGCAGAAGGAAUUAGAGCGGACAUUGCUGAACUGCGAUGUGUCGGAUUUCUUGUUAACAAACUUGGAAUUUGUAGGGCCACCUACCAAGAAUGCCUUCCUAACCUUCCAAUGAUCUCGUUCUCAUGUCCCCGAGAAUUUUUAGUUUGUUGCCCAAAUCCGGAUUGACAAGAACAAGGGUGAAGUUGUACGAAACAGGUUGAACGACGUAGUUUAUUCAUAAAUAUAGGUACUAGCCGAUUACGUUAUGUAGAGGAUGUUAUUUGCAAAUAAAUCAAAUUUGGUUCAUUAAAAUAUCUUCUAUAUUAUAAUUCCGAAAAGUCUGUCCCGUCAAAAUUUAUGUGACCUUCCUGCAUUCUGAAUGACUGUUCCCCGUCUAGCCCAACCAAUCAGAAAAGGGAUACUAAUUUUGAUUGUCAUUAUGAUUGUGAUUAUGAUUAUGCAUAAGUAUGGUUUUGAUAAUGAUUAUGAUUAUGAAUAAGAAAAUAUUGAUUAUACAAAAA